rnacentral:lncRNA from 1 species
GAUCAGUAUCUGUCAGGAAGUGGGGUAGUGGACCUGGCGCUUGGUCUAACACUAAUCUAGAGCCCUCUUUAGACGUCUUCUAGACCCCAGGUGCAUCCCUGGCAUUUUGGAACAUUUAGCCCACUCUUGUCAGUUUAAGGCUUGUGACGUCAUCCACUUUGUGACUUCUUUUCCAUUCACUUUAUUUUUAGCAGCUUUAUUGAGAUAUAAUUGUUACACAAUAAUGCAUAUUUUCAAAAGGUACAAUUUAAUAAGUUUUGACAUAGAGGCACUCCUAAAGCCAUCACCACCAUCAAAAUCAUGAACUUCUAGGUCAUCCCCAAAUUCUCGUGCUUCUCUGUAUCUCCUGUCAAUUGUUGAUUUAAUUUUUGUUGCUAUAUAUUUAUUCACAUUUCCUAAAACAAAUUGAACCAUACAGUGCAUACUUUUUUUGGUCUGACCUUUUUUUUAUUUCUUUUACUCAAUUAUUUUUUAAAGAUCUUUUUGUUGGGAAUGGAAAUUAGUACAGUUAUUAUGGAGAACAGAAUGGAAGUUGUAAAAAAAUUCCAAAUAGGGACUGGAUUGUGGCUCAGUGGUAGAGCUUUCACCUAUUACCUGUGAGGCCCUGGGUUCGAUCCUCAGCACCACAUAUAAAUAAAUAAAUAAAAUAAAGGUAUUGUGUCCAACUACAAUUAAAAAAUAAAUAUUUUUAAAAAUUCCAAAUAGGACUACCAUAUGAUUUAGCAAUUCCAUUUCUGGAUAUGUAUUCAAAAGAAAUGAGAUCAGUAGGUCAAAGAGAUACGUAUGUACAUGCCCAUGUUUAUCACAGCACUAUUCAUAAUGACCAAAGCAGAGAAUCAGUCUAAGUGUUCAUCAUUGAAUCAGUGGAUAAAGAAAAUGUGGUACAGAUACACCAUGGACUAUUAUUAUUUUUUUUUUCUUGCACCUGGGAUUGAACCCAGGGGUGCUUAACCACUAAGCCACAUCCCAGGCCCUAUUUUUACUUUGUUUGGUUUUGUUUUGAGACAGGGUCUCGCCAAGUUGUUUAGGGCCUUACUAAGUUGCUGAGGCUGGCUUUGAACUUGCAAUCUUCCUGCCCCAGCCUCCUGAGUUUCUGGGAUUACAGGUGUGCACCACCGUGUCCAGCUCAAAAAUUUGCUUUAUAUGGCCACAUGAAUGAAACUGGAGAACAUUAUGUUAAGUGAAAUAAGCUAGGCACAGAAAGACUGCAAAAAAAAUUAUCUGGAAGAAAGAAUAGAAUAGUGGUUACCAGAGGCUGGGGAGGGUAAGGAGGGAUGAGAGGUAAGAAGGGAUAAGGAGACCUGGUCAACAGGUACAGCAGCUGUAGUAAGCUAAGAGGAAUAAGUUCUGGUAUUCUAUUGCACAGUAGGAUGACUGUAGCUAGUGAUAAUGUAUUAUAUAUUUCAAGAUGGCUAUAAAACAGGAUCUUGAAUGUUCCCACCACAAAGAAAUAAUAAAGGUUCAAAGUGAUGGAUUUGCUGAUUACCCAAGUUUGAUCAUUACAUUGUAUAUGUAACUUGAGACAUCACAGUGUACCCCCAAACAUGUGCAAUUAUGAUGAGUCAAUUAUAAACAAAAAUUUAAAAAUCAAUUAUAAUUAUAGUCUAUAAUUCACUCCUUUGAUUGUUGUUAACCUUAUAUUAUAUGGAUA